rnacentral:rRNA from 1 species
UAAAACUCAAAGGAAUUGACGGGGCCCCGCACAAGCAGCGGAGCAUGUGGCUUAAUUGGCCGCAACGCGAAGAACCUUACCAAGGCUUGACAUAUACCGGAAAGCAUCAGAGAUGGUGCCCCCCUUGUGGUCGGUAUACAGGUGGUGCAUGGCUGUCGUCAGCUCGUGUCGUGAGAUGUUGGGUUAAGUCCCGCAACGAGCGCAACCCUUGUUCUGUGUUGCCAGCAUGCCCUUCGGGGUGAUGGGGACUCACAGGAGACUGCCGGGGUCAACUCGGAGGAAGGUGGGGACGACGUCAAGUCAUCAUGCCCCUUAUGUCUUGGGCUGCACACGUGCUACAAUGGCCGGUACAAUGAGCUGCGAUGCCGCGAGGCGGAGCGAAUCUCAAAAAGCCGGUCUCAGUUCGGAUUGGGGUCUGCAACUCGACCCCAUGAAGUCGGAGUUGCUAGUAAUCGCAGAUCAGCAUUGCUGCGGUGAAUACGUUCCCGGGCCUUGUACACACCGCCCGUCACGUCACGAAAGUCGGUAACACCCGAAGCCGGUGGCCCAACCCCUUGUGGAGGGAGCUUCGAAGGGGACGCA